rnacentral:rRNA from 1 species
AACGAACGCUGGCGGCAUGCCUAACACAUGCAAGUCGAACGAGACCUUCGGGUCUGUGGCGCACGGGUGCGUAACGCGUGGGAACCUGCCCUUAGGUUCGGAAUAACUCCCCGAAAGGGGUGCUAAUACCGGAUAAUGUCUUCGGACCAAAGAUUUAUCGCCUUUGGAUGGGCCCGCGUUGGAUUAGCUAGUUGGUAGGGUAAAAGCCUACCAAGGCGACGAUCCAUAGCUGGUCUGAGAGGAUGAUCAGCCACACUGGGACUGAGACACGGCCCAGACUCCUACGGGAGGCAGCAGUGGGGAAUAUUGGACAAUGGGCGAAAGCCUGAUCCAGCAAUGCCGCGUGAGUGAUGAAGGCCUUAGGGUUGUAAAGCUCUUUUACCCGGGAUGAUAAUGACAGUACCGGGAGAAUAAGCUCCGGCUAACUCCGUG